rnacentral:lncRNA from 1 species
GUCUGGGGCAACCCUGAUUUCACUUGACCCAUGUACCUUGGGACCCUCUUGAGAGGAGAUAUGGCAGAGCAGAUGCAACGGCACCCCUGAGCUGCCCUCAGGGGGUCCUCAGCCUUGGAGGAGGCAGGAGACCUGGGCUAUGGAGCCACUCACAGGCCCUACUGAGAACAACUUGGUGUCCAUCACAGUCCUCUUCAGAAUGCCCAGAAUAUGGGGAUAAGAAGGUGAAACCGGCAUGUUUAUUAACACAAUGGAAUAUUCUGUGGCCAAAUCAAAGGAAGACGUUGAGGAUUCUGGUGACACCUGGAAACGUACUGCUAAGGGAAAAAAGCAGGACCACAAUGUUAUGUGGAUAUUGACUGCGACUAUAUAUAAUGCCAGCGUGGACUUCUCAGAGAUGGAAUUUGGAGGAAUGUAAUACAGAUGCAAAUAGAGUUUUCCCCA